GCAAGUCGAGCGGUAGCACAGAGAGCUUGCUCUCGGGUGACGAGCGGCGGACGGGUGAGUAAUGUCUGGGAAACUGCCUGAUGGAGGGGGAUAACUACUGGAAACGGUAGCUAAUACCGCAUAAUGUCGCAAGACCAAAGUGGGGGACCUUCGGGCCUCAUGCCAUCAGAUGUGCCCAGAUGGGAUUAGCUAGUAGGUGGGGUAACGGCUCACCUAGGCGACGAUCCCUAGCUGGUCUGAGAGGAUGACCAGCCACACUGGAACUGAGACACGGUCCAGACUCCUACGGGAGGCAGCAGUGGGGAAUAUUGCACAAUGGGCGCAAGCCUGAUGCAGCCAUGCCGCGUGUGUGAAGAAGGCCUUCGGGUUGUAAAGCACUUUCAGCGGGGAGGAAGGCGUUAAGGUUAAUAACCUUGGCGAUUGACGUUACCCGCAGAAGAAGCACCGGCUAACUCCGUGCCAGCAGCCGCGGUAAUACGGAGGGUGCAAGCGUUAAUCGGAAUUACUGGGCGUAAAGCGCACGCAGGCGGUCUGUCAAGUCGGAUGUGAAAUCCCCGGGCUCAACCUGGGAACUGCAUUCGAAACUGGCAGGCUAGAGUCUUGUAGAGGGGGGUAGAAUUCCAGGUGUAGCGGUGAAAUGCGUAGAGAUCUGGAGGAAUACCGGUGGCGAAGGCGGCCCCCUGGACAAAGACUGACGCUCAGGUGCGAAAGCGUGGGGAGCAAACAGGAUUAGAUACCCUGGUAGUCCACGCCGUAAACGAUGUCGAUUUGGAGGUUGUGCCCUUGAGGCGUGGCUUCCGGAGCUAACGCGUUAAAUCGACCGCCUGGGGAGUACGGCCGCAAGGUUAAAACUCAAAUGAAUUGACGGGGGCCCGCACAAGCGGUGGAGCAUGUGGUUUAAUUCGAUGCAACGCGAAGAACCUUACCUGGUCUUGACAUCCACAGAACUUUCCAGAGAUGGAUUGGUGCCUUCGGGAACUGUGAGACAGGUGCUGCAUGGCUGUCGUCAGCUCGUGUUGUGAAAUGUUGGGUUAAGUCCCGCAACGAGCGCAACCCUUAUCCUUUGUUGCCAGCGGUCCGGCCGGGAACUCAAAGGAGACUGCCAGUGAUAAACUGGAGGAAGGUGGGGAUGACGUCAAGUCAUCAUGGCCCUUACGACCAGGGCUACACACGUGCUACAAUGGCAUAUACAAAGAGAAGCGACCUCGCGAGAGCAAGCGGACCUCAUAAAGUAUGUCGUAGUCCGGAUUGGAGUCUGCAACUCGACUCCAUGAAGUCGGAAUCGCUAGUAAUCGUAGAUCAGAAUGCUACGGUGAAUACGUUCCCGGGCCUUGUACACACCGCCCGUCACACCAUGGGAGUGGGUGCAAAAGAAGUAGGUAGCUUAACCUUCGGGAGGGCGCUUACCAC
rnacentral:rRNA from 1 species